GACGAACGCUGGCGGCGUGCUUAACACAUGCAAGUCGAACGGAAAGGCCCUGCUUUUGUGGGGUGCUCGAGUGGCGAACGGGUGAGUAACACGUGAGUAACCUGCCCUUGACUUUGGGAUAACUUCAGGAAACUGGGGCUAAUACCGGAUAGGAGCUCCUGCUGCAUGGUGGGGGUUGGAAAGUUUCGGCGGUUGGGGAUGGACUCGCGGCUUAUCAGCUUGUUGGUGGGGUAGUGGCUUACCAAGGCUUUGACGGGUAGCCGGCCUGAGAGGGUGACCGGCCACAUUGGGACUGAGAUACGGCCCAGACUCCUACGGGAGGCAGCAGUGGGGAAUAUUGCACAAUGGGCGGAAGCCUGAUGCAGCAACGCCGCGUGCGGGAUGACGGCCUUCGGGUUGUAAACCGCUUUCGCCUGUGACGAAGCGUGAGUGACGGUAAUGGGUAAAGAAGCACCGGCUAACUACGUGCCAGCAGCCGCGGUGAUACGUAGGGUGCGAGCGUUGUCCGGAUUUAUUGGGCGUAAAGGGCUCGUAGGUGGUUGAUCGCGUCGGAAGUGUAAUCUUGGGGCUUAACCCUGAGCGUGCUUUCGAUACGGGUUGACUUGAGGAAGGUAGGGGAGAAUGGAAUUCCUGGUGGAGCGGUGGAAUGCGCAGAUAUCAGGAGGAACACCAGUGGCGAAGGCGGUUCUCUGGGCCUUUCCUGACGCUGAGGAGCGAAAGCGUGGGGAGCGAACAGGCUUAGAUACCCUGGUAGUCCACGCUGUAAACGGUGGGUACUAGGUGUGGGGUCCAUUCCACGGGUUCCGUGCCGUAGCUAACGCUUUAAGUACCCCGCCUGGGGAGUACGGCCGCAAGGCUAAAACUCAAAGGAAUUGACGGGGCCCCGCACAAGCGGCGGAGCAUGCGGAUUAAUUCGAUGCAACGCGUAGAACCUUACCUGGGUUUGACAUGGAUCGGGAGUGCUCAGAGAUGGGUGUGCCUCUUUUGGGGUCGGUUCACAGGUGGUGCAUGGCUGUCGUCAGCUCGUGUCGUGAGAUGUUGGGUUAAGUCCCGCAACGAGCGCAACCCUUGUUCACUGUUGCCAGCACGUUAUGGUGGGGACUCAGUGGAGACCGCCGGGGUCAACUCGGAGGAAGGUGGGGAUGACGUCAAGUCAUCAUGCCCCUUAUGUCCAGGGCUUCACGCAUGCUACAAUGGCUGGUACAGAGAGUGGCGAGCCUGUGAGGGUGAGCGAAUCUCGGAAAGCCGGUCUCAGUUCGGAUUGGGGUCUGCAACUCGACCUCAUGAAGUCGGAGCCGCUAGUAAUCGCAGAUCAGCAACGCUGCGGUGAAUACGUUCCCGGG
rnacentral:rRNA from 1 species